rnacentral:rRNA from 1 species
UGCAGUCGCACGAGAACGCUUCAGCUUGCUGAAGUUAGUAAAGUGGCGCACGGGUGAGUAACGCGUGGGUAAUCUACCCCCCGAAUUGGGGAUAACAUCGCGAAAGCGAUGCUAAUACCGAAUGAUAUCUUGAAAACUCUGUUUUCUGGAUCAAAGAUGGCCUCUACAUGUAAGCUAUUGUUUGGGGAUGAGCCCGCGUACCAUUACCUUGUUGGUAGGGUAAUGGCCUACCAAGGCAACGAUGGUUAGCUGGUCUGAGAGGAUGAUCAGCCACACUGGAACUGACACACGGUCCAGACUCCUACGGGAGGCAGCAGUGAGGAAUUUUGCGCAAUGGGGGAAACCCUGACGCAGCAACGCCGCGUGAGUGAUGAAGGCUUUCGGGUCGUAAAGCUCUGUCAAGUGGGAAGAAACCAUAUGGUGUUAAUAUUGCCAUAUGCUGACGGUACCAUUGAAGGAAGCACCGGCUAACUCCGUG